CCCAAGUAGAGUGGCGAAAGGGUGAGUAAUACGUUUCUACGUGCCUUGAGGUCGAGGAUAGCCAGGGGAAACUCUGGGUAAUACUCGAUGUGGUCGCAAGAUCAAAGAUUUAUCGCCUUAAGAGCGGGGAACGUCCUAUCAGGUAGUUGGUGAGGUAAUGGCUCACCAAGCCUAAGACGGGUAGCAGGUGUGAGAGCACGGCCUGCCACAUCGGGACUGAGACACUGCCCGGACUUCUACGGAAGGCUGCAGUAACGAAUCUUCCGCAAUGCGCGAAAGCGUGACGGAGCAAUGCCGCGUGCAGGAUGAAGCCCCUCGGGGUGUAAACUGCUGUCAGGGAUUAGGAACCAAAUGACCAUUCCCAAAGGAAGAGACGACUAACUCUGUGCCAGCAGUCGCGGUAAUACAGAGGUCUCGAGCGUUAGUCGGAAUCACUGGGCUUAAAGCGUACGUAGGCGGAUCUGUAGGCGUCGUGUGAAAUACCUCGGCUCAACCGAGGAACUGCACGGCGAACCACAGUUCUUGAGACAAGUAGGGGCGGUCGGAACGAUAGGUGGAGUGGUGAAAUGCGUUGAUAUCUAUCGGAACGCCGAAGGUGAAGACAGGCCGCUGGGCUUGUUCUGACGCUGAGGUACGAGAGCGUGGGGAGCAAACGGGAUUAGAUACCCCGGUAGUCCACGCUGUAAACGAUGUGCACUAGAUCGAGGAGGUUCUGACACCAUUCUCGGUCGAAGUAAAAACGUUGAGUGCACCGCCUGGGGAGUACGGUCACAAGGCUAAAACUCAAAGGAAUUGACGGGGGCUCACA
rnacentral:rRNA from 1 species